AUGGAACAAGGCUUAAGGUAAAAACUCCUCACAGAAGCUGGGAGCGGCGGCGACACUCGUUUCGUGCUUCAAAAUCUCCUCAUCCACUUCAGAAUCCAUCGAAUCGCAUUCGGCCCUCAAUCGUCAUCAUCGUCGGUUCCGACAUUCAACAACGUGAAAGGAUAAGAGCGUUCACGCUCCAAAUGUGGUUCAUCGCUGCAAUUCCGUGCUUACGGAUGACGUUCUCCGAUUGCGAUUCCUGGGUUCGACGGCGUCGAAUCAUCCAUCCACACCGUCAACCACAGGUUUACUCACUAGCUUUGAAGUAGUAUCUAAUCGCGACGGACUUGGUUGAACCGGAACGACAUCGCCACGAAAACGAGAACAAAUUAAAGCGAGAACUACUUACCAGAUUGAAGCGACGUGGUGGUUCUCCGGCGAAUGUUCAGGUUAGUGACUUUGGUUUGCUUAAAUACAGGUUUUGCAGAUAGGCUAUGUCAACUGAGUUGAAAUUAGUCAUGUUGCGAUUUUAUUUGAUGGCUUAUGACGGUUGAAUGUACCACUGCUGUUACUUCCCUUUUCGGACUCGACGAGGCAUGCUGCUGCUAACAUCUGUUGGUUUAUGCAUUUUCUGUAGCAGUUAAUUGGUAACUUGUUAAUUGUUGAUGAGGGCGCUGUUAUUGUUGUUAUUGGAUGUCAAAGCUAACUUCCUCUUUUUUGACUUGUAGUUAUGAAUGAACUGCUGAAUUGAUGCAGGUGACUUGGUGUGAUUACACUGCCAGCUCACUUCGAUGUCACCGGAUCAGUUGUCAGUUUGGCAGUGAUUCCGUUUUACACUGCUUUGGUAACGCUUGCAGAAAUUGUGAUGCCAGAUAUUGUAAAUUAGUUAAAGAAACUGAGUUGCUGCAACAACACGACCGACGUUGUGAAAUAGAUAGUAUUAUUAGAGGAACUGUUGUAUUAUUGCAAUGAAACAAACUCCCCAUUCAAUUCUGAAUUGUCAAUAUCUGCAAAUUGGUUUGUGAAUUAUCAGUUGUAAAAUUGUUUGUGGUUCGGUAGUUACUUGGUAUUCUGUUAAUAUAUGCGGAGUUAACUGAGUUUCCGUUGGCCGAUUUGCAGGUUGAACCGAAGGUAACACAGGAUGAAGGUUGGUCAGAAUGGGAUAUCUGUUGUGAAUCCUUCAAAUUGGUGCCGUUGAAGCUUGUUAAUUCCCUGUGGUCUGCUGUUGCAGGGGUUAACUUGGUGAAAUUGGUGUGUUCUAGCCUAUUGGUCUUGCGGCAACAUGUGAGCAAUUGGGAACGCCCCUCUUUGCAGGUACGGUUUUGGUUUCGUGAUGCAGUUUACGGCUGCGGCAAGGCUUUAAGGAUUGAUGCUGCUUGUGGUAUGCGUGAUGCGAGGCAAAGCAAAGGUCUCUGUUGGCGUGUCCUGCAUUCUUAUGUUUUAGGAAUUAAUUGAUGAACCAUGGGAUCAAAAAAAUUAGGAUUGUUCUAGUUUAAAUUUUAGCAGCUCAUUGGUUAAGAGGGAAAAACGUUGUAAAUGUUAGAAAGUUAGAAAAUCAAAGUAUUUACAGGAUGUGAUAUUAGUGUGGAUAAAUGCUAAAAAUAGUUUGGAAGUUGAGAACAUUCAGUUAAUGGAUGAAGUUAUACUCUUGGUUAAA